rnacentral:misc_RNA from 1 species
AAAAGUACCAGCCCCACACUCAGCGUUAGGACACUCCUUCCUCAGCCUCUGCACUUUGCCGCUAUCAUCAACCUUGUAGAACUGAAGAAUGGAGAGCUUGACCUUCUUCUUCUUGUGCUUGAUCUUCUUGGGCUUGGUGUAGGUCUUCUUCUUCCUCUUCUUGGCUCCACCCCUCAAGCGCAGCACCAGGUGGAGAGUCGACUCCUUCUGAAUAUUGUAGUCG